GAGAUGCCCAAGUCAAUGGAAAUGCCCAAAUCAAUGGAGAUGCCCAAGUCAAUGGAAAUGCCCAAAUCAAUGGAAAUGCAGUCAGUGAUGUAAGUUUAUUGUUUUAUUUCAGCUUAUAUGUUUAAGGUUACUGUUUCAUUUCAGCUUAUAUGUUGCAUAUUGAUAUAUGUUGUAAGACAAUUUUUAUUGUGCUUUCACAGUUGGUUGAACCACCUAGAAAAGAAAGAACUCAGCCACCUGCAAUUGCCCAAGUCAAUGCAGACAAUGUAAGAUUGUAGCUCAAUGGUACCACAACAUUUUUUUUUCGCGAAUGAGCCUGUGGCUCAAUGGUAGCACCCCUCUCACAAAGUGGAGAGGUUGUGGGUUCGAAACACGUCAACAGCUGAUUGUUGAUAUAAGUUUCCACACAGAAUUUAAAGGGGAAAGGGUCCCCUCAACCCUGCUUGCCAAUCAAAAAAAAAUGUAAGAUUGUAAGAAUGGUAGUAAUAAAAUUACUGUACGGUAGGAGUAAAUUAUACAAUGUUUAAUUCUUACCUUCCCAUGAUUAAUAUCCAUCAGGGGACACAAAUACAAUGGAAGAGAUUAAGGUCCAAUCAGCAGACUGAUGAAAGAAGUGCACAUAAUCAAACUAAGAAAACAAGGAAGACUGCACAGCCACAAGAAAACACAAUAGGUA
rnacentral:lncRNA from 1 species